rnacentral:tRNA from 1 species
GGCUAAAGCCGCCGUCAAGCAUCUGACUCUUAAUCAGCGGGUCCUAGGUUCGAGCCCUAGUGCGUCCACCA